rnacentral:tRNA from 1 species
GUGGAUAUUAAAAGUUUAUUUUGCAAAAAUAAAUACGGACAUUACUUAUGUCCUAUCUACU